GACUUUUCUUUUUCUUUUGGAUAGUUUAGCGGUAGGAAUCGAACUUGAGAUGUAAUGCUGCUAAUCGUCAGCUGCUAACCACUCAAGCCCAAGUGCCGUUAAUCUUUUCCCCUCAUAACCUAUCUCACUUACUAGCAAAGCAUUAUGAAUAAUUAUUUUCUUUUUUGGUAAGGGUGUGGUUUGUCAUCUUAAAAUAUAUUUUCAUCUUUAAUUAUGACAUUUAAAGUUUUAAAAAUAGUGUAGAUCGAGCAGAUCUAUGAAAACUUGAAAAUCUUGAAAAUUGACGGUCCAAAAAUGCGUUACAACAUGUACUAUU
rnacentral:lncRNA from 1 species